rnacentral:rRNA from 1 species
UGGGGAAUCUUGCACAAUGGGGGAAACCCUGAUGCAGCGACGCCGCGUGAACGAUGAAGCCCUUCGGGGUGUAAAGUUCCUUCGACAGGAACGAUAAUGACGGUACCUGGAGAAGAAGCUGCGGCUAACUACGUGCCAGCAGCCGCGGUAAUACGUAGGCAGCGAGCGUUGUUCGGAGUUACUGGGCGUAAAGAGUGCGUAGGCGGCGAGCCAAGUUUGGUGUGAAAUCUCCCGGCUUAACCGGGAGAGUGCGCCGAAAACUGGUUGGCUGGAGUAUGGGAGAGGAAAGCGGAAUUCCUGGUGUAGCGGUGAAAUGCGUAGAUAUCAGGAGGAACACCUGCGGUGUAGACAGCUUUCUGGACCAAAACUGACGCUGAGGCACGAAAGCGUGGGUAGCAAACA